GAUCUUUAUUUUUUAUUCAAUAUAAAUUAAAAAGAAUUAUUAAAUUUAUAUUGAAUAAAAAAUUUUAUUGGGGUGAUAUUAAAAUUUAAAUAACUUUUAUUAUUUUUUUUACAUUAAUAUAUGAAUAUUUGAUCCAAUAAUAUUGAUUAAAAAUUUAAGUUACCUUAGGGAUAACAGCGUAAUUUUUUUUUAGAGUUCUUAUCAACAAAAAAGAUGGC
rnacentral:rRNA from 1 species